rnacentral:rRNA from 1 species
CCUACGGGAGUCAGCAGUGGGGAAUCUUGCACAAUGGGCGCAAGCCUGAUGCAGCAACGCCGCGUGAGUGAAGAAGGUCUUUGGAUUGUAAAGCUCUUUCGGCUGGGAAGAAGGGACUAGUGGUUAAUACCCAUUGGUUUUGACGGUACUAGAAGAAGAAGCACUGGCUAAUUCCGUGCCAGCAGCUGCGGUAAUACGGAAGGUGCAAGCGUUGUUCGGAUUGACUGGGCGUAAAGAGCACGUAGGCGGGUUUGUAAGUCGAUUGUGAAAGCCCUGGGCUUAACCUGGGAACGGCAAUCGAAACUGCAAAUCUUGAAUACCCGAGAGGUUAGUAGAAUUCCUGGUGUAGGAGUGAAAUCCGUAGAUAUCAGGAGGAAUACCGGCGGCGAAGGCGGCUAACUGGCGGUGUAUUGACGCUG